GGAGUGCGGAGGAAGAGAGAAGAGUCUGUACGGAGGAUUACCACCGCCGAGUAGAAAAAUUUGGGUUUUGUUUGAGUUUUAGUAGAUCUGGAUUUGCUCUUAAUUGAAACCACCGAUGAAUAUUAUUUCUAUUUUUGCAGGUUUUGUGAUUUGAGGAUGAUGGUUUAUAUAUGCUGGAAAUAAUAUAUAUGGAAAAAGACGAUGGUUGAGUGAUAUGUUUUGUGGUUCACGGCAAGAAAGAGUGAUAUACAGAAAAAAAGAAAAUGGAAAGCGUAGCCAUAACAGAGCAUUUGAUCAAACUCAUCCCUGUUGCAGAGCCUGGAUUAUUUGAUCUGGUGGGUUAUGUCAUCUCCGCCAUGGAAGGGAAGCCAUACCAGAGUCUGGAGAGGCAUGGACGUCUUGAUUUUCAACGGUUGGCAUUGGUAGACCAUCCAGCCGUACGUUUUCUUUGGCUUUUGUUUGCUUUAUUUUUGAGUUCUGACUCAUUUGAUAACGUCUACGUAUGUUUGUGUGGCCCAGGUGGGGACUACAUGGAAGAUGGGAACAGGUUGUACAAAGACAUGAACAGACUGGUCGCUUAUUACAAAGGGAUGACCACUUGGGCUCGAUAGGUUAAUGCAUUUGUCAAUCCAUCUAAGACCAAUGUUUUUUCAAUGGCGUUUCUCCUGUUCUUUACGAGUAACUAAACAAACAAAGAAACCCGUUUCAAUGGGUAGUUGAUGUUAUUGGUUAAGCAUUUUCUAGGCAUAGCAUAGUUAUUAGGGAAUCAUAAACAUUUUAAUAUUAAUCUUAAUACAAGAAAUAGAUAAUUUAAAGACCAUGUGAUCUAUGUAUAAUAGCUCUUUAAAAUUUAGGGAUUGAGAUAAAUGUUUAAUCCGGUUGUGCUCAAAACCGGCCAUGACUAUUAUUUUGAUACUGUACAUUAUGGUCUAGGUGAUUAUGAUUAUGCCAUUCUCUAACAUUAUUUAGACGAUCUUUUGUUGGCAGUGGAAGGGAUUGGGGAGAGCCAAUGAAGUCAUGUAAGAGUCACACAGCCAUCAUACGGGAGGAAAUAUUCAGGAGGGUCACCCUCACCUGUGGCUUGGGUGAUUUUAAACAAAGUGAUGAGGAGAUUGAAAAAACUGGUCUAUUGGCUCGACAUAACCGGUCUAUCUCAGCUCCGUAAAGAUGCUUAUCCUUCUGCUUACAGUGGGAACUAUCCUGGUAAUGAUUGUAGCCACUGGUGUCUUCCUAGUCUACCUGAUACUUGGAACUUACUCUUUUACUCUGCUUUUUUCUCUUGAAGUUUCUUUUGUCCUAUCAUCAAUGUAUAAGUUACCGAAUAACAGUCCAUUUCUUUAGUUAAUUUUGAAUUGUUGUUGCU